UGUCAUUAUUAAACGUUUGUACGAUAUCAUACAUACAUCGUUUUCAGGCAAGACACGCCAAUAUUACUGGCUCCGGGACACGCGUCGCUGCAAUAUGAUUGGCUGCUGUAUACAGGCAGGCAGAACACGCGCAUUGGCUCCUGUAUACAGGCAGGCAGAACACGCGCUACUGCUUCCCGAGUGGAAAAGAUGUGACGGCGUUAAUGUGUUUCCCACUAACCCUGACCCACCUUGAUCGUAACCUUAACGCCUUAAGCCCCAACCAUUGCCUUAAAGUUAACUAUAACAAACUUCUUUGUUUUUGUUUCGUACAAAUGUGAUACAUGUGCUUUGGUCUUUUCGUUACAUCUGCGUAACCUGCCUUUCCCGCGACACAGGAGCGGGACGUGUCCUGCCUGGAAGCUAAGUGGGAAUCCUUAUAACGCCACGGGACGCGUCCAUUGAAAGUGUAUGCUCGAUUUGAAAUGUAGAUGAAUUGGGAAAGCGUUGGGUGGGCGGUGCUAUGGUUAAGUUCCAGCGAAUGAAACCGCCCGGGUGACUGACUCCGGGGAACACAACACGCGCCCCAACGCAGAAUGAGCCAAUGGGAGAGGAGAACUGAGAGGUUGCGUGUUUUAAAACGACGAAGAUAAACAGACAACUGAGAGCGAGCACGAGUUGACGCGCAGUAGUUUCUGUCUUUGGUGCGUUUUAUUUUUUUAUUUUUUGGGGGGAUUCUGGCAAUUGCAACACUUAACGAUGAGAAAAAGUGAGGUAAUCGCAGCAGAGUCUGUGUCAUGCCUCAACAAAUCCUUGUGCCGCUUGAAGGACAUUUGGGAGGAGAUCGGCAUAUUAGAGGACCAAAGACUACAGAGAGCUAAUGCUGUGAAGAACCACAUCAAGAACUUACUCGAUAUGAUGAUCAAAGAAGAGGAAUCUCUGAGGAGCCGAGUUAUAAGCAGCAUUCAAAAUUGCAAAACUGAACUGGAGAAGCUGUCUCUCGAACUUCAGAUUCCUGUGUUUCAGGACGAGGCUGGUCUUGGCAUGCUCCAGCAGGAGAAGAACCUCCGCACGGUGGUGGAUGGUCUGAUAAAGGAGAAGACUCUGCGCAUGCAGCAGCUGAAAACUCUGCUGGAGCAGGACCAGGAGCUGUGUGACAUCCUGUGCUCCAUUCCUUAUCCUAUCUCCCCAGAUUCUGUUCCCUCAAAGGACCAACUAGAGAGCUUUCACCAACAUAUUGCUAACCAGAAUGCAGUGAAGAAAAAUCGGUAUGCUGAGUUUAUGGGCCUCAAGAAGCAGAUCAUCUUGUACAUGAAUGACCUGGAUCACAUCCCUGAGACCAGCUUUGAGAGGGAUGUUGUCUGCGAGGAUGAGGACUCUUUCUGCCUCUCUCGAGAAAAUAAUACCGCACUCAAACUGCUUCUUUCUCAGCUGGAGCAACAAAACGCAGAGAACGAGGCAGUGUGUGAGGCUCUUCGAGAGAAGAUCCAGCAGCUGUGGGACAGAUUGGAGGUGCCCCAGUUGGAAAGAGAGCCCUUCAAUGAGCACAUGGUCAUGUCCAAGAAGCGCAACCUGACUGCGUUGCAAGCAGGGAUAAAGCAUCUGGAGAAACUAAAACUGCAGAACAUUCGCAAUGUCACAGAUGCAAUCCGUUCUGAGAUCGCUGUGUUUUGGGAGAAGUGCUUCUUUAGCAUUGAGCAGCGUCAGGCGUUCUCCCCAUAUUUUAGUGAGGAUUUCACAGAGGAGAUACUGCAUCUGCAUGAUGCUGAGAUUCAGCGUUUGAAGCAGCAUUAUGAUGAUCACAAAGAGCUUUUUGAUGGGGUUCACCAGUGGGAAGAAAGCUGGAAACUCUUCCUGGAGUUGGAUAAAAAAGCAUCAGAUCCGUUGAGAUUUACAAAUAGAGGAGGGAAUCUCCUCAAAGAGGAGAAACAAAGGGCUGAGCUGCAUAAAAAUCUACCAAAGUUGGAAAAGACACUAAAAGCCCAGAUAGAUGCAUGGGAAAAUGAGCAAGGCAGUGGGUUUUUGGUCAAUGGCCAAAAGUUUCUCAAGUAUGUGGAGGAACAGUGGAAGCUGCAUCAAACAGACAAAGAGAGAGAAAAACUAGAAAGGCACCUGAAGAAGAGCAAGCAGACUGAGGAGGAUAUGCUUUAUGGAACAGCAGUACAAACCCCCAAACGUAGAUUGCUGGGUAACCAUACCCAAAAUAAAUCUCGAAGGAUGAAUGCCACAUCCAGUAUUUCUGUGGCCACAUCCAACAGCACGAUGCGCUCUGCCUAUGGUGGAAUGGUCUGUCGCUCACCGGUGCCAUGCUCACCGAUGUCACGGACACCUUUUUCAACUAACAAGGGUCCUGCACAAAGGAUUUGUGGCGGUAAACCUCGCCAUCCAAAAGUGUACGACUGUAAAAAAGAGAAUGCUCAGUUGAAGGGAACCCCUCCGAGUACUGCAUUGCUGACCCCUGCUAGUCCACAAUGUAACAUCAGCCUUAACUCAGUUGCCAGCACAUAUUCACAGUUUGUGCACCCCUUGUCAAGACCGGUCCUUCUGCUGUGAAACAAUUGUCAUCACAAAUGCUCAGAAUUAAGCCUAUUGAUGCACUGAUCUGUGUUGAGGCCUUUUCACACCACACUUCCUCAGUGUGAAAGGUUCGCAUGGCAGAGCGCAAGGACAACGGCACCCCGAAGCGGCCAUUGCCAACCGUAGCAGCUGCCAAGGAGCGAGACUUGUCCAAGGCCUCUAACCCCAAGAUCCAGCAGCACAUCCUGAACUCUACCAUCACCAAACUUUGACGUCUCACCUCUGGACAAGACUGCCUCCAUUAUAUAUAGUUCAUUAUAUUGAAAUCCUUGUGUUUAGGUUGUUUAGUUAUUAACUCAAAUUGCAAAACUUUUUUUUUUUUUUUUUUUAUAUCCAAGUCUCUCAAUAGAUGGCACUAUCUUAUGACGCUAUCUGCAUUUAAAUGUAAAUGAAGGUAAUAAUACAGUAUCUUAAAUUGGUUAUGAAGGAGGUUCCUUGCUGCUUCCAGCAGUGCUAUCACACAGAUGUUUCCAAGUCGGUCACUGUCCAAAAGGAGAAACAAGCCAAGCUAAGUUAUCCUAAUGCUACCUUUUAAAUGUUGACAGAGAUGUAAAGAAAAUCUAUCGUUUAGGUUAUUUUUCUAUUAGCAAAAGCUAACUUUCUGAAGAUAUGGAACCUAAAGGUUAAACAACCACAUGUAAUGUAAUUUGCACAUUUUGUAAAAUAUAUUCCAGUUCAUUGUGUAGUUUUACACACUGUGUUACAUUUGAUUUUUUUUCUCACCACCUUUUUGCAAUGUGUCUAAGAUGUUAAUCUGUCCCAUGUUGAUGCUUUAACAUUUAAGACAGGAUGUGAUAAAAUUUCAAAAUGUAAACAAAACAAAAAAAGUCACUGAGAGUCAAUACUUGAACAAACAGCAGUUCACAUAUGGCUUUUAUUACAUUUCUAAGCAAAUAUGAAAAAUAUACUUUCUCAUGUAAUGUAUGACUUUUCUAUCACUAAAGAGUGGGAAACCUAG